rnacentral:rRNA from 1 species
UACGUAGGGUGCAAGCGUUGUCCGGAAUUAUUGGGCGUAAAGAGCUCGUAGGCGGUCUGUCGCGUCGGCUGUGAAAGCCCGGGGCUCAACCCCGGGCCUGCAGUCGAUACGGGCAGACUAGAGUGUGGUAGGGGAGACUGGAAUUCCUGGUGUAGCGGUGAAAUGCGCAGAUAUCAGGAGGAACACCGAUGGCGAAGGCAGGUCUCUGGGCCAUAACUGACGCUGAGAAGCGAAAGCAUGGGGAGCGAACAGG